GUAGCUGGCCAGACAAGUCAUUGGGAAAUCCACGCGCUCAACGCGUGGGCGUNCAGCGGAAACUGUCUGGCUUGGGGCCGGAGGACUCGAGGGGUACGUCUGGGGUAGGAGUGAAAUCCCGUAAUCCUGGACGGACCACCGGUGGCGAAAGCGCCUCGAGAGGACGGACCCGACAGUGAGGGACGAAAGCCAGGGUCUCGAACC
rnacentral:rRNA from 1 species